AGCUCAGUUGGGAGAGCAUCAAACUUUCAAUCUGAGGGUCCAGGGUUCAAGUCUCUG
rnacentral:tRNA from 1 species